UAUUACCACAUGUAACUGCAAGAGGGAACAUCCAUAAAGGAAUCAUUGCAGGAAAAUUGAAAGGGCAAAUCCCAGCACACACACCAAGUGGCUCUCUAAUGCUAUAGGUAUCAAUUCCAUUUGACACAUUAGGGACAUACUCGCCCAUUUGCAGAGUUGCCAUUCCACAAGCAUGUUCUACAACCUCAAGCCCACGGAACACAUCACCAUGUGCAUCCUUCAAAGUCUUCCCCUGUUCAGUAGUAAUAUUCAUCGCAAGCUUAUCAAUGUCUCU
rnacentral:misc_RNA from 1 species